rnacentral:rRNA from 1 species
AGCAGCCGCGGUAAUUCCAGCUCCAAUAGCGUAUAUUAAAGUUGUUGCAGUUAAAAAGCUCGUAGUUGAAUUUCGGGGUCAGUAGGUUGGUCGUGCCACCGGUACGUACUGGUCUCACUGAUUCCUCCUUCCUGAUGAGCUGUAAUGCCAUUAAUUUGGUGUUGCAGGGAAUCUGGACUGUUACUUUGAAAAAAUUAGAGUGUUUAAAGCAGGCUAACGCUUGAAUACAUUAGCAUGGAAUAAUGAAAUAGGACGUUCGAUCCUAUUUUGUUGGUUUCUAGGAUUGACGUAAUGAUUAAUAGGGAUAGUUGGGGGCAUUAGUAUUCAAUUGUCAGAGGUGAAAUUCUUGGAUUUAUUGAAGACUAACUACUGCGAAAGCAUUUGCCAAGGAUGUUUUCAUUAAUCAAGAACGAAAGUUAGGGGAUCGAAGACGAUCAGAUACCGUCGUAGUCUUAACCAUAAACUAUGCCGACUAGGGAUCGG